rnacentral:sRNA from 1 species
GCCGCUGCCAAAUCAGCGGCCCGGGUUUGGCGACCUGGAAUCAUUGGAGGCGCAGCAAAGGCGUCGAUAGGCGCUUUUUUU